rnacentral:rRNA from 1 species
GAUGAACGCUGGCGGCGUGCCUAAUACAUGCAAGUCGAGCGGACGGACGAGAAGCUUGCUUCUCUGACGUUAGCGGCGGACGGGAGAGUAACACGUGGAUCCCCUCCCUAUAAUACUGGGAUAACUUCGAGAAACCGGCGCUAAUACCGGAUGAUCUUUUGCACCGCGUGGUUCAAAAGUGAAAUACGGUCUUGCUGUCACUUCUAGAUGGAUCCACGCUGCAUUGGCUAGUUGGUAAGGUAACGGCUUACCACGGCAACGAGGCAUAGCCGACCUGAUAGGGUGAUCGGCCACACGGGAGCUGAGACACCGUCCAUACGCCUGAGGGACGCAGCAGUAGGGAAUGUGCCGCAAUGGGCGAAAGCCUGACGGAACGACGCCGCGUGAGUGAUGGAGGUGUUCGGAUCGUAAAACUCUGUUAUUAGGGAAGAACAUAUGUGUAAGUAACUGUGCACAUCUUGACGGUACCUAAUCAGAAAGCCACGGCUAACUACGUG